GACUGAACGACUAAUGUGGGGAA
rnacentral:misc_RNA from 1 species